rnacentral:rRNA from 2 species
CAGGGAUUCCCCUAGUAACGGCGAGUGAAGCGGGAACAGCUCAAAUUUGAAAUCUGGCCCUUGGGUCCGAGUUGUAAUUUGCAGAGGAUGCUUUUGGUGCGGUGCCUUCCGAGUUCCCUGGAACGGGACGCCUUAGAGGGUGAGAGCCCCGUACGGUUGGCCACCAAGCCUGUGUAAAGCUCCUUCGACGAGUCGAGUAGUUUGGGAAUGCUGCUCAAAAUGGGAGGUAUAUUUCUUCUAAAGCUAAAUACUGGCCAGAGACCGAUAGCGCACAAGUAGAGUGAUCGAAAGAUGAAAAGCACUUUGAAAAGAGGGUUAAAUAGCACGUGAAAUUGUUGAAAGGGAAGGAUUUAUGACCAGACUUUUUCUGGGGGGAUCAUCCGGUGUUCUCACCGGUGCACUUCCCCCAGUUGAGGCCAGCAUCGGUUUCUGCCGGGGGAUAAAAGCUUUGGGAAUGUGGCUCCUUCGGGAGUGUUAUAGCCCGUUGCAUAAUACCCUGGCGGGGACCGAGGUUCGCGCAUUGCAAGGAUGCUGGCGUAAUGGUUAUUAAUCACCCGUCUUGAAACACGGACCAAGGAGUCGAACAUUUGUGCGAGUGUUUGGGUGUUAAACCCUCACGCGUAAUGAAAGUGAACGGAGGUGAGAGCCUUUAGGGGUGCAUCAUCGACCGAUCCUGAUGUCUUCGGAUGGAUUUGAGUAAGAGCAUAACUGUUCGGACCCGAAAGAUGGUGAACUAUGCGUGGAUAGGGUGAAGCCAGAGGAAACUCUGGUGGAGGCUCGCAGCGGUUCUGACGUGCAAAUCGAUCGUCAAAUCUGCGCAUGGGGGCGAAAGACUAAUCGAACCAU